rnacentral:rRNA from 1 species
UACGUAGGGUCCGAGCGUUGUCCGGAAUUAUUGGGCGUAAAGAGCUCGUAGGCGGCUUGUCACGUCGGAUGUGAAAGCCCGGGGCUUAACUCCGGGUCUGCAUUCGAUACGGGCUGGCUAGAGUGUGGUAGGGGAGAUCGGAAUUCCUGGUGUAGCGGUGAAAUGCGCAGAUAUCAGGAGGAACACCGGUGGCGAAGGCGGAUCUCUGGGCCAUUACUGACGCUGAGGAGCGAAAGCGUGGGGAGCGAACAGG